UGAGAGACCACGUUCCCGGUAGGGUUCCAUACGGACCCGGUCCGUCCACCAUCUCCCAGGAUAUCUAGUCAGGCUGUCCACAUUAUCCACUUAUCAAUUCACAUAACUUUUUUGCCCUUUUUCUUGGUUUCAAUCAUCCAAACACACACAACAUGUAAACCAGUAAUGGACACCAAAUAAGACAACACAGUAUCGGGUUCAUCAUAAUACAAACCAUAAUAAAAGAAACCAUGAUUCAUGCAUACGAGACCAUAACGUAAUUACAUCAAACAUCAUGCUGCAUUUAAUAUUAGAAAUUAAAUCAAACAAUAAAUACCAACACUGU
rnacentral:lncRNA from 1 species